CUUCAGCGAGCCGAGCCACAGCGGCCGCCCCUCCGGCCGCUCCUGGCCGUAGGUGGCGAGCAGGGCCUGCGCCUC
rfam:Streptomyces autolyticus strain CGMCC0516, complete genome.